UACGUAGGGGGCAAGCGUUGUCCGGAAUCAUUGGGCGUAAAGCGCGUGUAGGCGGUUCGGUAAGUCUGCUGUGAAAGUCCAGGGCUCAACCCUGGGAUGCCGGUGGAUACUGUCGGACUAGAGUACGGAAGAGGCGAGUGGAAUUCCCGGUGUAGCGGUGAAAUGCGCAGAUAUCGGGAGGAACACCAAUUGCGAGGGCAGCUCGCUGGGACGUCACUGACGCUGAGACGCGAAAGCGUGGGGAGCAAACAGG
rnacentral:rRNA from 1 species